CCCCUAAAACGACCAUCCCACGUUCGGAUCGCAGGCUGCAACCCGCCUGCGUGAAGUUGGAAUCGCUAGUAAUCGCGGAUCAGCAUGCCGCGGUGAAUACGUUCCCGGGCCUUGUACACACCGCCCGUCACACCAUGAGAGUCGGGAACACCCGAAGUCCGUAGCCUAACAGCAAUGGGGGCGCGGCCGAAGGUGGGUUCGAUAAUUGGGGUGAAGUCGUAACAAGGUACC
rnacentral:rRNA from 1 species